ACCUCUUCAGUCUAUGAGACGAUCCAAACCCACAGAGCCACUGGAGGAGAGAGGUCUCAUCAUUCAGAGGAAAAUACUGAUUACGCUAAUGUGAAACCACAGAAUUACAGAGCAAGAUGAAGGUCAGGUAAUUGGAGUCCGGCAUAAACAGAUGAUCCAGUUUGUUCUACGACCAGCAAUAGCUAUAGAUAAUACUGCUGCCAUCUCCAGGGAGAUAACCUCAUG